CCUACGGGUGGCAGCAGUAGGGAAUCUUUCACAAUGGGCGAAAGCCUGAUGGAGCAACGCCGCGUGCAGGAUGAAGGCCUUCGGGUUGUAAACUGCUUUUAUAAGCGAGAAAUAUGAUGGUAACUUAUGAAUAAGGAUCGGCUAACUACGUGCCAGCAGCCGCGGUCAUACGUAGGCUCCGAGCAUUAUCCGGAGUGACUGGGUGUAAAGAGUUGCGUAGGUGGCAUAAUAAGUAGCUAGUGGAAUCUGGUGGCUCAACCAUUCAGACUACUAGCUAAACUGUUAAGCUCGAGACCGUUAGGGGUAACUGGAAUUUCUAGUGUAGGAGUGAAAUCCGUAGAUAUUAGAAAGAACACCAAUAGCGUAGGCAGGUUGCUGGGACGGUUCUGACACUGAGGCACGAAAGCGUAGGGAGCAAACGGGAUUAGAUACCCGAGUAGUC
rnacentral:rRNA from 1 species